rnacentral:rRNA from 1 species
AGUGAACGCUGGCGGUAGGCCUAACACAUGCAAGUCGAACGGCAGCACAUUAAGAGCUUGCUCUUACGGGUGGCGAGUGGCGGACGGUUGAGGAAUACAUCGCAAUCUACUUUUUCGUGGGGGAUAACGUAGGGAAACUUACGCUACUACCGCAUACGACCUCCGGGUGAAAGCAGUGGCUCUUCCGACCUUGCGCGAUUGAAUGAGCCGGUGUCGGAUUAGCUAGUUGGCGGGGUAAAGGCCCACCAAGGCGACGAUCCGUAGCUGGUCUGAGAGGAUGAUCAGCCACACUGGAACUGAGAAACGGUCCAGACUCCUACGGGAGGCGGCAGUGGGGAAUAUUGGACAAUGAGCGCAAGCCUGAUCCAGCCAUACCGCGUGGGUGAAGAAGGGCUUCGGGUUGUAAAGCCCUUUUGUUGGGAAAGAAAAGCAGCAGGUUAAUACCCCGCUGUUCUGACGGUACCCAAAGAAUAAGCACCGGCUAGCUUCGUG